rnacentral:rRNA from 1 species
AUUGAACGCUGGCGGCAGGCCUAACACAUGCAAGUCGAGCGGUAGAGAGGAGCUUGCUUCUCUUGAGAGCGGCGGACGGGUGAGUAAUGCCUAGGAAUCUGCCUGGUAGUGGGGGAUAACGUUCGGAAACGGACGCUAAUACCGCAUACGUCCUACGGGAGAAAGUGGGGGAUCUUCGGACCUCAUGCUAUCAGAUGAGCCUAGGUCGGAUUAGCUAGUUGGUGAGGUAAAGGCUCACCAAGGCGACGAUCCGUAACUGGUCUGAGAGGAUGAUCAGUCACACUGGAACUGAGACACGGUCCAGACUCCUACGGGAGGCAGCAGUGGGGAAUAUUGGACAAUGGGCGCAAGCCUGAUCCAGCCAUGCCGCGUGUGUGAAGAAGGUCCUCGGAUUGUAAAGCACUUUAAGUUGGGAGGAAGGUCAGUAGCUUAAUACGUUGCUGAUUUGACGUUACCGACAGAAUAAGCACCGGCUAACUCUGUGCCAGCCGCCGCAGUAACAC